rnacentral:rRNA from 1 species
AUGGCGCCCAAGGCCGAGAAGAAGCCAGCCGCAGAGAAGAAGCCCAAGGCGGAGAAGCGCGUGCCCGGGAAGGAGGGCGACACUAAGAAGAAGAAGGCCAAGAAGAGCAACGAGACGUACAAGAUCUACAUCUUCAAGGUGCUCAAGCAGAUUGACCCGAACAUGGGUAUCUCCUCCAAAUCAAUGUCCAUCAUCAACGACAUCUUCGAGAAGCUCGCCGGCGAGUCGGCAAAGCUCGCACGCUACAACAAGAAGCCCACCAUCACCUCCCGGGAGAUCCAGACUGCUGUGCGCCUUGUCUUUCCAGGCGAGCUUGCCAAGCACGCCGUCUCCGAGGGAACCAAGGCCGUUACCAGAUUCACCGUGUAUUAG